rnacentral:rRNA from 1 species
GAGUUUGAUCCUGGCUCAGAAUCAACGCUGGCGGCGUGCCUAACACAUGCAAGUCGAACGCGGUUAUCUCGCAAGGGGUAACUGAGUGGCGAACGGGUGAGUAACACGUGGGUGACCUACCUUCGAAUGGGGGAUAACGUCCCGAAAGGGACGCUAAUACCGCAUAACAUCCUGCUUUUGAACAGGUGGAGAUCAAAGCUGGGGAUCGCAAGACCUGGCGUUUGAAGAGGGGCCCGCGUCUGAUUAGCUAGUUGGUGAGGUAACGGCCCACCAAGGCGACGAUCAGUAUCCGGCCUGAGAGGGCGGACGGACACACUGGGACUGAGACACGGCCCAGACUCCUACGGGAGGCAGCAGUGGGGAAUUGUUCACAAUGGGCGCAAGCCUGAUGACGCAACGCCGCGUGGAGGAUGAAGGUCUUCGGAUUGUAAACUCCUGUUGCCCGGGACGAAAAGCUUCGACCUAACACGUCGAAGUCUGACGGUACCGGGUGAGGAAGCCCCGGCUAACUCUGUGCCAGCAGCCGCGGUAAUACAGAGGGGGCAAGCGUUGUUCGGAAUUACUGGGCGUAAAGGGCGCGUAGGCG